CAGGAAUUGUGAGAUCGUCCAGCCUAAUUCAGAGUACUAAACCACCCUAACAGCUGAACUGUCCUUAAAUGUAAUGUGAGGAGAGAACUUCAUGUUAUAAGAAAGAAGAGGCUGCCACCAACAUAGUCGUCCUGUGUUGAGUUCCUGACUCUAACUCUGUGACUGUAAUAUGACUUACCUCCUGUACUCUUGAGGUUGUAAUGCUGAGCAUUUCCCUGGCAGUGGCAGACAAAGAGGUGAAGUGAGGUUGAACAAAUGAGCAGCAUAAUGGCUUCAGGACAUGAGUCAUUCUGAAUAUGGUGGACAUCUAGAACCUGGUAUAUAAUAUUGUCGACAUUUCAUGUUGCUCAACUAGCAUGCAGCAUGUCAAGGGUUACUUGUUUCAAUAUGCCUGUUUUCCAUGAACACUGAUCGCAUCUUGAAGCACAGAUUGAGCCGGCCUUGCCUCUUUUGUGAGGCGAUGAUCAGCAACAGUGGCUCUGUGAAGUUGGAUAUUUUUGUUGCCUUGUAUGACAAGCAAGAAAAUGGAAGGGUGGGUGGGUGAAGCAAGCCCACAGAAA